AUGGGUGAGCCACAUGGGCAGGUGCCCAGACCCCAGGCCGCCCACUGGGUGGCAGCAGUGCCUCUCCCUCUAGCACCUCUAGACCCUGUGGGGAGGGGGCCCUCCUGGCCAGCUCCGGAAGGAGGAGCAAUGCUGAGAUAUGAUCACACCAUGCAUGAGUGCGAGCCAGAAAUGAACUCCAGCUGCUCUACAGGACUCUACAGCCCCUCUCAGGGCUGGCACCGAGAGACGGUGCCACUGGGUGAGCCACUAAGGCCAGCAAAGGUGUCCGCAUUUAAGAGAUAACAACAGUAACGUCCGUGUGAAAUCCUCGCGCUGGUGUGUGGUUUCUGAAGUGCAUCCUGCGUUGUGAAAUGGUAGCUGCUAUUCAGUGUUGAUAACCUCAGUUCACUGUGGAUCCCAUCCGACAAUGUGUGAAGUCAAGAAAAGCCAACUGUGACCCCACAGAGGGGGAAGCAUCUAGUCUCUGCUUUCUGAACAGGCUGUUCCAAAAACGGGACUUCGUUUCAGUUACUUGCAGUAAUAAAACCACUGCACUUGUGUGCAGACCCCAUAUCCAUCUUUCCACAUUCUCCACCUCCCAUCCUACCCAAGGUCAUGAAUAUCAAACUUGGAAAGGAAAAGAACAAAGGGCGUCUCCCCCAGCAAUUAAGGGCCAAGAAAAUGAAGUCCUUUUUUUGCCUCCAAAUAAAAUCUUGGACGUGAUGGCAAUUGCAUUUAGCAGGAUCCCAAAUGCUGCUUUUAUAUGCCAGCAUUCCAUUUGGGGAGCUGAUUUGUUGGUUAAAACUAUGCAAUGUAUGAAAGAGGGACUCAUUUAUUUAUUUCCUCUCUUGACUGACCUUGGGCCUUAAUUUAUCUCAAAACCAAGAGAAUUUUCCUCUUGGUAAAGGAGGACUAAUUCUUGCAGUAAGUCCUUGAUAGCUUCUGCCAUCAAAAACAAACCAUAAGUGGAAUGUACAGAAAUGCCCUGAAUUUAAGAAAGAUGACGUGGGGAGCAGUAAAAGCAGGAGGAGAAGUGUGAGAAGAAAAAGCAGCAUGGAAAAUCAGGGGGAAGGUGAUGUUGAACAAAUCAUGCACAUUUCAAGAUUUUUUAAAAAGCAAAGCAUUUGGGGAUGGACAGCUGUCACCCUUGCCACCUUAGAGGAAAGUUUUGCUGGCUAACUGGCUAUUGUCAAGCAGGCCGAGGUGGUGGCCUCGGCGGGCUGGCUGACCUUCCCCUGACUCCAAGAGGAAAGAAAUAGUGAGGCUCUGUGUCCUGCGAGUCGGGCCUUCCUGUGACCUGAGUGCAACGUCUCAGCCCCUCUCCGACAACCCUCCAGCAAAGCUGGCUGGAGCUCUUGGUUUAUUUUUUCAGGUGAGUGAACGCCGUAUCAAAUACUGGUUUCUCAGUUGCUUUUAAUUAGGCUUCUGGGUUGCACUCUUUCAUCUCGCCUGAAAUCUGCAUCACUUUUCUCCAGCUAUUUCAGGUUCUAAAGCCGUGGGUUUGCUUUCAUUCAACUAAUUGAAGGCACACAGGAAAGGAGAAGGGGGAUAAUCCCAAUCACUGGACAUUUUUUAGGGUUGUGAUAAACCACACAUUUUUUAGCAACAGAAAACCACUUUCAAAAUGUUAAGUCUGUGGCCUGUCCCCAGGGGCUGGAGUGCCUACUCCCGGAGGCUUCAAGGUUAAUGUCGUGGGGUUCUCUGAGACUCCUGGAUGCAGGUAGAGACCAGGAGAGCAGGUGAGAUGCCGUGAUGUGACCCGACAGGCCCCAUAACUUUCCCUUUCUGAUGUUGAGCUACUGGGAACAUCGCUAUUGAACUGUGUAUCUGCAAAGCUCUGGGGUGGAGGCCUGGCCACACGCAACAUCGGAGAACAUAGCUGAUGUCCCAUGAAGUGUCAGCCGGCAGCCAGGUGCUUGCUUAAUCCCAGAAAGGGCAGUAUAUGUCUUUCAGUAAAAUUUUAUUGAAUCCUAAUACAAGAUUUUUUUUAGCCCUUUGGAGCAAAAAACUCUUGAAAACUAUAUUCCUGAGGUAUGUAUCAUUUGUUGGUUUUACCAAGGCUUUCUAGUAAACAAACUUUAGAUCUUGCCAGAGUAUUCAAAAUAGGUUUAUGUAGAGCAAAUAUUUAAAUUUAUCUGUUAUUCUAUUUUUUAUAACUGAUGAAUAGGAUUACAGGCAUUUAAUAAAACUUCUACAAAAUAGAGCGGGGUGGGGGGGUAAAUCCUACUUAUUUGCUACCAAAAGAAUCAAAAUGACAUUUAUAUUUAUAUCUUAAUAUAUGGUUCUUCAAGUCAUUUCAGGAGAUGAAACAGUAUAUGUUACUAAUGGCUUCUAAUUAUAAAAACAAAGUAUUUAAAUGGAUCCAACACAGUCAAUUAACAAUAAAUCUAAAUUCCAUGUUAUAGUGGCCUUUGUAAGGCAAAAAAUGGGAAAAGUACUUAUAAUUCAUACACUGUCAAAAAAUACCUGAUACCUAAAUAGUUCCCACAGUCAGUAAAAAAAAGACCAACCAUCCAGUAGCAAAUUUGGAAAAUGGCACUUUAUAGACAAGAUCACAGAAGUUGAGAUAGGUGAGAAGAUGCUCAGUCUCCCUCAUAAUUAAAAUGCAAAUUGAACUAUACCGAGAUUUCAUUUUCCAAAUCCCAGGUUAUUUAAAAAAAAAAAAAAAAAACCUAACAGGUUGAUAUGCUGGUGGCAAUGGAGUAGGGGAAAGACAUUUAUUAAAAGCUGAUGGACCAAGCACUUUGGGAGGCCAAGGUGGCCUGAUCACACGGUCAAGAGAUCGAGACCAUCCUGGCCAACAUAGUGAAACCCCAUCUCUACUAAAAAUACAAAAAUUAACCAGGAGUGGCGGCGUGCGCCUGUAGUCCCAGCUACUUGGGAAGCUGAGACAGGAGAAUUGCUUGAACCAGGGAGGUGGAGGUUGCAGUGAGCUGAGUUCAUGCCACUGCACUCCAGCCUGGCAACAGAAUGAAACUCCAUCUCGGGGGGGAAAAAAAAAAGCUGAUGGGAAUAUAUAUUGAUUUCAAUUUCUAUGGGAAUUUGGCAAUACCUACUAAAAUUAUAAAGGCAAAUGCCCUUUGACCCAUACUUCUUUUUCUAAAAACAUAUUCUACAAAUACAUUCACCUAAAGGAAAACUUCCUCUGUGUCCCCGCUUUCCAUACUGUCCUCUUUGGACGGAAGUCAUUAUCUGCAGCCCACACUUACAGGGUGGGGAGUUAAUACUCUCCGUCUUUGAGGGCAGAGUAUCUACACAAAUUAUUUGAAAUUUUCUGCACAGAACAUUUGUCUCUUUUCUUCAAUUCAUUUAUUUUUUCAAUCAUUUGUUGAUGUCAGUAUGAGUUCGUGGUUAUUUAUCUUAUACUUUGAGUUAUCAUCCAAUGCUACUUUAUUUACUUAGCUGAGUUUUUGAUUAAAUGGAAUGAUUGUUUUGGCAUCCGGUACAAAUCGGCUUGGAACCCAGAGCUCAUCACACAGCUAUGUGACCUAGUAGUCUCUCUUUAUGUGCUCACGGAGCUCCCAUGUCUCUCGCCAUUUAUCGAUUUGUCAAUUGUGUACUAUGUGCCCUUUAUUGUGCGAGGUGGGCAGCAGUGAAUGGAAGAGACUGCCUGCCUGCCCAUGGGAGUUAC
rnacentral:lncRNA from 1 species